CUGACUGACUACAGUCUCUAGCCCGUUGGUUCAAUUACUCAGUAGAAAAAAUCUGAAAAGUCACUAGCCAGCCAAUGAAUUGUCUUAUUUCAAGUGUUUAUCUUUAGGUCAAUCAGGCUUGGGUCAAGAGGCCAUCACACAGUUCAUAGGGAUGCUGUUCACAAGGUUGCACUUCUGUUGGAAAAUUCUCUGACCAGCUCACCUGGAGCAGAAAGCAGAACCUCCAGAAUCCCUGCAUUGGCUGCCACUCACGGUGUGGAGGAAAUGACAACUAUCAUCGCUGUAUUUCUGAAGGGCUUCUCAUCUCUCUAAUCAAGUCUUCACCUCGAUGCCAGAAUUAUCUUUCUACCAUACAAAUCCAAUCCUGCCAUCCUCCAAUUGAAAAU
rnacentral:lncRNA from 1 species